ACAAGGGCCACGCCCCCUGCCGUCGCCCCGCGGGCGCGCACCCGCCACUCCGGCCGCCGCCGGUACAUUUCCACUCUCCCAGCGCCUCUCCCCCGCCGGACUCCCGCGCGGCCCGGGAGGUGGGGGCUGUUCCCGACCCCAGUCCGCGCCCCUGGCGCCGAGGCUCCGCACCCUCCAUACUCACCUGGAAAGGGUGGCCCCCGCCCCUCCAAAAAACUGUCUAAUUUGUGCAGAGCCUCCAAGCCCAGGAGCCGAGCAUGCUGCCCCCGCGUGCAGCGCCCGCGUGCACCGGGCCGGGAGAGGGGGCGACAGGGCGGAGGCGGUGGCCCCCGGAAGGUGUCUGGGACCGGACCGGCUGCACGUGAGCCCAGCGCGAGGUCAUGUGCACCGGCUCAGCCCGGUUCGGCGCCCAGACGUGCUGCGUAUCAACAAAAUGAAACUCGGGGAGACAGGAGAACAGAUAGCUCCCGGUUCUCAGAGCCCCCGCCCUGGCCACUCAACCUCCCCACCGUACCCAUCUCCCGCCGCAGCCCCUACGCCCGGCCGGAGCCCGCGGGGCAAGUUGCAGCCCAGGCGCGCCCCCGCCCGCCCGCGCCCCCUCCGGCCCGGGGGCGCUUUGCCGCAGUCAUUAAUAAAGAAGGUCGCCAAGCUCACCCUUCCAAAAGUUGUUGCUGCAUGCGCCCCUCUCAGCCUCCCCGCACUGUACUCUUUAAAACACGACUGACCAACAUGCGCAAUCUCUCUCCCCUGUGCUGUGCAUUCCCCCCCCCUCCGCGCUGGCUUCCUAGAACAGGCAGCCAGCAGGAGAGAGAGGGAGCGAGCGAGCAAGAGAGCGAGGGAGCGAGGAGCGCUGGCAGAUCUGUUGCAAAAACACCAAAUAAUGUCGUGGAGAUGCGCAGGGCCCAUCCGCCGGGGGCUGGAUCUUACCUUGCUCCGCGGUACCCCCCUGAGGGGCGCUGCCCGCGGCUACGCGCCGCUGCAGGGACCGGCGCGGGAAGGAUGCUCCCGAAGCCGGGAGCUCCUGGGGCCGGCGCGGGAGGGCGGGGGGCGCUCAUCCAUCCGGGGUCGCGGCGAGGGAGGCGGUGGGGCCCGUGGCGUCCCCGGCCCCACGCCCCCCGCCGGGGACAGUCAGCCCGCCAGACCUGA
rnacentral:lncRNA from 1 species